rnacentral:rRNA from 1 species
CCUACGGGAGGCAGCAGUGGGGAAUAUUGCGCAAUGGACGAAAGUCUGACGCAGCGUCGCCGCGUGAGGGAUGAAUGUUUUCGGAUCGUAAACCUCUGUCAGGAGGGAAGAAAGCGCAUGGCGCCAAUCAGCCAUGCGUUGACGGUACCUCCAAAGGAAGCGCCGGCUAACUCCGUGCCAGCAGCCGCGGUAAUACGGAGGGCGCGAGCGUUAAUCGGAAUUACUGGGCGUAAAGCGCGCGUAGGCGGUUGGGUAAGUUGGGGGUGAAAUCCCACGGCUCAACCGUGGAACAGCCCUUGAUACUGGGAGUCUUGAGGCCGGGAGAGGGUGGCGGAAUUCGAGGUGUAGGAGUGAAAUGCGUAGAUAUCUGGAGGAACAUCAGUGGCGAAGGCGGCCACCUGGACCGGUAUUGACGCUGAGGCGCGAAAGCGUGGGGAGCAAACAGGAUUAGAUACCCUUGUAGUC